GCGGCGUGCUUAACACAUGCAAGUCGAACGCUGAAGCUCCCAGCUUGCUGGGGGUGGAUGAGUGGCGAACGGGUGAGUAACACGUGAGUAACCUGCCCCGAACUCUGGGAUAAGCGCUGGAAACGGCGUCUAAUACUGGAUAUGUCCUAUCACCGCAUGGUGUGUAGGUGGAAAGAAUUUCGGUUCGGGAUGGACUCGCGGCCUAUCAGCUAGAUGGUGAGGUAAUGGCUCACCAUGGCGACGACGGGUAGCCGGCCUGAGAGGGUGACCGGCCACACUGGGACUGAGACACGGCCCAGACUCCUACGGGAGGCAGCAGUGGGGAAUAUUGCACAAUGGGCGCAAGCCUGAUGCAGCAACGCCGCGUGAGGGAUGACGGCCUUCGGGUUGUAAACCUCUUUUAGUAGGGAAGAAGCGAAAGUGACGGUACCUGCAGAAAAAGCACCGGCUAACUACGUGCCAGCAGCCGCGGUAAUACGUAGGGUGCAAGCGUUGUCCGGAAUUAUUGGGCGUAAAGAGCUCGUAGGCGGCUUGUCGCGUCUGCUGUGAAAACCAGAGGCUCAACCUCUGGCCUGCAGUGGGUACGGGCAAGCUAGAGUGCGGUAGGGGAGAUUGGAAUUCCUGGUGUAGCGGUGGAAUGCGCAGAUAUCAGGAGGAACACCGAUGGCGAAGGCAGAUCUCUGGGCCGUAACUGACGCUGAGGAGCGAAAGCAUGGGGAGCGAACAGGAUUAGAUACCCUGGUAGUCCAUGCCGUAAACGUUGGGAACUAGAUGUAGGGCCUGUUCCACGGGUUCUGUGUCGUAGCUAACGCAUUAAGUUCCCCGCCUGGGGAGUACGGCCGCAAGGCUAAAACUCAAAGGAAUUGACGGGGGCCCGCACAAGCGGCGGAGCAUGCGGAUUAAUUCGAUGCAACGCGAAGAACCUUACC
rnacentral:rRNA from 1 species